GGAGAGAUGGCCGAGUGGUCGAAGGCGCACGCUCGGAAAGUGUGUAGGCGGGGAACCGUCUCAAGGGUUCGAAUCCCUUUCUCUCCGCCA
rnacentral:tRNA from 1 species